rnacentral:misc_RNA from 1 species
AACACUGUUAACCUGCGGUACCUGCGGAGGGAUCAUUACCGAGUUUACAACUCCCAAACCCCUGUGAACAUACCUAUCGUUGCUUCGGCGGGUUGCCCCAGCGCCUUCGGGCCUGGACCCAGGCGCCCGCCGGAGGACCCAAACUCUUGUUUUUUUGAGUAUCUUCUGAGUAAACAAGCAAAUAAAUUAAAACUUUUAACAACGGAUCU